rnacentral:tRNA from 1 species
GGGACUGAUUUGAUUACUAGAGUUCCACGCGGUCUUCAAAACCGUCUGUGACCUGCGUGCCAGGUUAGCUGGGUUCGAUUCCCAGGGGGUCCCGCCA